GUUCGGGUUAAUAUAUAAAUAUAACAAUGUUUUAAUAGCUUAAUUAUAGUCUCCUAAUAGUCUAUCAGUGACAGUUCCCCCAUAGCGUUCGUAUGUGAGGAAAUUGGCAAUUCCCCCAUGUAUUCAGCGUAUGCAUCGUGCGGAUUUUCCCGUGCGCUAGUAAAGGUAAGUCCAGUUUCAGCUACCAUGAACUUGUACAGCGCUGGAUUACUCUGCAAUAUACCAACUCUUUCAACGUGAGAGAGAGAGGUUUUCCAGCUCGAGUUUCCAUUCAAAAAAUCCGCACGACUUUUCUCGAUCGUUUGGACAACAGAAGAAAAGGCGGCCUUGAUUUUCUCCUUCCUUUUUGACUUUCCGUACGCAAGCAUUCAAUCCGUGUCCGCAUUUCGGUUUUGGAAACUCUUGUCUGUCACCCCACUGCCAGAACUUACAUGGAUUCUCGUGGUCACAACAAACAAAAAACGGCCUUCCAAAGUUCAGUUUACUAACGGCUUUGACGACUUUCAUUCUUGCUAGCCUUUGGUGAGUAUCACACACUGGAUGAAUUGGUCCAUUCGCUCUCCACAUUGACAUGGCCGUUUCGAACAACGAGCGGUCUUGAUCAGGGCAGAAGAAUUCACAACUCUUGGGAUUAUUUCUGUUGCAAACCCAAAAUUUUCCAUUUUUGUAGAAACCGCGGACGCUGGCAAUCCAUGCAAACACUCCAUUGCUGUAGGUAAACGACAAUCAUACUGUCUGAUGCGCGAUAUUUAUGUCCUGUCGUUAAAGCCAGUUUUCUUGCAAGGUCAGCAUAGACAGGCCCGGGCAAUGUCGUAAAAGUACAAUGUGUUCAGCCAUAUACAACAGUUAAUGACUUUUGCUAUUCAACCCAGAUUAGCGAUAUUCAAAUUUCGCCAGGUUACUAGUCGCGUAACCAUGCAAUUAAGCGUUGUAUCCAAGAUUGUUUUAUUUCAAAGCUCUCUCUCUCUCUCUCUCUCUCUCUCUC